rnacentral:rRNA from 1 species
UACGAAGGGGGCUAGCGUUGCUCGGAAUCAGCUGGGCGUAAAGGGUGCGUAGGCGGGUCUUUAAGUCAGGGGUGAAAUCCUGGAGCUCGAACGUCCAGUAACUGCCUUUGAUACUGAAGAUCUUGAGUUCGGGAGGAGGUGAGUGGCAACUGCGAGUGUAGAGGUGAAAUUCGUAGAUAUUCGGCAAGAACACCAGUGGCGAAGGCGGCUCACUGGCCCGAUACUGACGCUGAGG